rnacentral:rRNA from 1 species
CAGCAGUCGCCGCGGGAAUACGUAGGGUGCAAGCGUUAAUCGGAAUUACUGGGCGUAAAGCGUGCGCAGGCGGUUUUGUAAGACAGAGGUGAAAUCCCCGGGCUCAACCUGGGAACUGCCUUUGUGACUGCAAGGCUAGAGUACGGCAGAGGGGGAUGGAAUUCCGCGUGUAGCAGUGAAAUGCGUAGAUAUGCGGAGGAACACCGAUGGCGAAGGCAAUCCCCUGGGCCUGUACUGACGCUCAUGCACGAAAGCGUGGGGAGCAAACAGGAUUAGAUACCCCGGUAGUCCCUGUCUCUUAUAC